GGUUCCAUAGUGUAGCGGUUAGCACAUCUGCUUUACACGCAGAAGGUCCUGGGUUCAUGCCGCAGUGGAGCCA
rnacentral:tRNA from 1 species